rnacentral:rRNA from 1 species
AGUCGAGGGGCAGCGCGGGAUAGCAAUAUUCUGGCGGCGACCGGCGGAAGGGUGCGUAACGCGUGAGCGACAUGCCCGUUGCCCGGGGACAACCGGUGGAAACGCCGACUAAUCCCCGAUGGGAUACGAUGCUGCAUGGCAUUGUAUUGAAAGUUACGGCGGCGACGGAUUGGCUCGCGUCCGAUUAGCUGGUUGGCGGGGUAACGGCUCACCAAGGCUGCGAUCGGUAGGGGUUCUGAGAGGAAGGCCCCCCACAAUGGGACUGAGACACGGCCCAUACUCCUACGGGAGGCAGCAGUGAGGAAUAUUGGUCAAUGGGCGGAAGCCUGAACCAGCCAUGCCGCGUGCGGGAAGGAGGCCCUAUGGGCUGUGAACCGCUUUUGCCUGGGGGCAAUAAGGGCGUCGCGCACGCCCGAUGAGAGUACCAGGCGAAUAAGCAUCGGCUAACUCCGUGCCAGCAGCCGCGGUAAUACGGGGGAUGCGAGCGUUAUCCGGAUUCAUUGGGUUUAAAGGGUGCGUAGGCUGUGCGUCAAGUCGGGGGUGAAAUUCCGGUGCUCA